rnacentral:tRNA from 1 species
CAAAAUAUAGCUUAAAUAAAGCAUUUUGUUUACACCAAAAAAAUAUUUGUUAAUUCAAAUUAUUUUGA